AUAACCCGGCCUUUUGGAGCGUGACCAGGACGCUUUCCGGUUUAGAAAAACACCCGUAAUUACCAAAUCGCCACCCGAAGAGGGAAAUUUGAUAGGGGAAUGCAGAAGAGGGACCAGAGCAAGUUGGGCGGCUCGGCAGGUGGCGCCACCACUCCGGCGGCGAAGAGAGGCCGUCCUUUCGGCAGUGGAGGCAGCAACUCCGCCGCCGCCGCCGCUGCUGACGCGGCUGCUCCAUCCACUCUCCUUGGUCCAUCUCUCCACGUCCACAGUUCCUUCGCUGAUCAAAACAACAAAAGAAUAGUUUUGGCUCUUCAAAGUGGAUUAAAGAGUGAGCUAGGAUGGGCAAUUAAUGCUCUGACAUUACUCUCUUUCAAAGAAAAGGACGAUGUGCGCAAAGAUGCUACUCCUCUUGCUAAAAUACCUGGGUUGCUGGAUGCUCUUCUCCAAGUUAUAGAUGACUGGCGUGAUAUAGCCCUUCCAAAGGAACUUGCAAAAGCGCCAAGAGCCAGGUUGUUAGGUGCUAACUCUUUUGUAACAGGAUUUGGAAAUGAGUACGAGGCAUUGGGUUCAAAUGAUGUUCUUUCCCAUCCUGGAUCUGGUUCUUCCAUCUCUGAUGCCUCUGUGCAGAAGAAUACAACCAAGCUUCGUCCUUCAGAGUGGUGGUUGGAUGAAGAUGGUCUGUUUAAUCUGGAUGAAGAAGGGCGGGCAGAAAAACAGCAAUGUGCUGUUGCAGCUUCAAAUAUCAUUCGCAACUUCUCUUUCAUGCCAGAUAAUGAAGUCAUAAUGGCCCAGCAUCGCCACUGCUUGGAAACAGUGUUUCAGUGCAUAGAAGAUCACAUCACAGAGGAUGAGGAACUUGUCACGAAUGCACUUGAAACAAUUGUGAAUUUGGCUCCUUUGCUGGAUCUUCGUAUCUUUAGUUCAUCCAAGCCUUCCUACAUCAAAAUAACAGAGAAACGUGCAGUUCAAGCUAUCAUGGGGAUGCUGGGAUCUGCAGUCAAAGCCUGGCAUUGUGCAGCUGCGGAAUUACUUGGGCGUUUGAUAAUAAAUCCUGAUAAUGAACCAUUCCUUCUUCCUUUCGCUUCACAGAUACAUAAGCGUUUGGUUGAUCUUCUGAGCUUGCCCGCCGUAGAUGCACAAGCAGCUGCAGUUGGUGCUCUAUAUAACCUUGCAGAAGUCAAUAUGGACUGCAGGUUGAAGCUUGCUAGUGAGAGAUGGGCAAUUGAUCGCCUGCUGAAAGUUAUCAAGACACCACAUCCAGUACCAGAAGUUUGCAGGAAAGCUGCAAUGAUAAUCGAGAGCCUGGUGUCAGAACCACAAAACAGGGCCCAGCUGCUAGCUUAUGAGAAUGCCUUCGCAGAGAUACUCUUCUCAGAUGGCAGACACUCUGAUACAUUUGCCAGGAUAUUAUAUGAAUUGACAUCUCGACCAAACAACAAAAUGGCUGCGGCUCGUGGUAUCUGGGGCAUGUAACUGAAAACCUGCUUCAUUUGGUGAUUAGGUUCUAUUUUAAAAGAAUAUUGGAAAGGGGACAGAACUGGAAAAAGAAAUUCUAGCAAGCAGUAUGGUUUCCGGCCAGGACUUGAUGCCACUUUCAGUAGUGUUUGCACUUUGCAUUGCUAAAAUGGGAAAAGUCUUUCUUCCACCCUUGUACUUGAAGAAGGCAAAUCUAUCCUUCCAAAGUUGGUUUUGUUGGUUUUACAUCUGCUUCCCAUCUCAAGGAUUACUCACCCCUGAUGAGAAGAUCAAUUAGGUAAAACUGGUACUGUUUCGGUCUCACACUCUCACUAUCCUUAUUACAGUUUAAUUGAUUAUAUUCUCCUAGAGUACAUAAACAGUAAUGUAUAUCACAUUAUUAUGAUGUAAAUCACUUGCUCUAAUAGGAGAUUCCCUUCAGUCAUUCUUGACAUGGAUGCCUUUGUUAUGGCACAGUUUUGCACAGCCAUUUUUUUUAAAAAAUAUUUUCAUUCAGCUUAUACUUGUGCUCCAAUUUCAAACUACUAUGUGAAAAAUUCUAAGUUAUGUAGUGGAGAAUUUGUCACCCUCAAGUAGAGACAAAGAUGUGUUGGUGUGGGUGCACGAAAUCUUCAACCACCUUAUUAGAAUAACUAAACCAUGUAUACUUGCACUUCA